CCUAGCUAUACUUGUUUAAUACAAGUUACUAGGUCACAAGUCAGUUUAUUAGCACAUUAUUAAGGUUUAUUUUAAGUCAUAAAAUUCAACCACAACAAUUAGUAGCGAUGAUUUGCUUAAAAGGGGUGUGUGAAACUUGAAGUGGUGGUGGUAAUAAUUGAUAAAUUGGCUACUUUUA
rnacentral:sRNA from 12 species